GACUUCAUCGACAUCUCCCUCGUCGACGGCUUCAACGUGCCCAUGGACUUCAGCCCCACCUCGGGGGACUGCCGGGGCAUACGGUGCUCCGCCGACAUCAACGGGCAGUGCCCCGCGGAGCUGAGGGCGCCGGGCGGCUGCAACAACCCUUGCACCGUGUUCAAAACUGAUGAGUACUGCUGCACCUCCGGCAGCUGCGGGCCGACAAACUACUCCAUGUUCUUCAAGAACAACUGCCCCGAUGCUUACAGCUACCCCAAGGACGACGCAACCAGCACCUUCACCUGCCCCGGUGGGACUAAUUACAGGGUUGUCUUCUGCCCUUAAUUAUCACGUGGGAGGAGAAGGAGGUGACGGCGGACGUACAAAGAAUCUACUCGUAGAUAAAAGAAUAAUAAGCCAAUUACCCAGUAAUAACAACGAAUAAGAGGGUGUCUGUAUUGACAUC
rnacentral:lncRNA from 1 species